rnacentral:rRNA from 1 species
GAUGAACGCUGGCGGCGUGCCUAAUACAUGCAAGUCGAGCGAACAGAUGAGGAGCUUGCUCCUCUGACGUUAUCGGCGGACGGGUGAGUAACACGUGGAUACCCUACCUAUAAGACUGGGAUAACUUCGGGGCAACCGCUGCUACUACCGGAUAAUAUAUUUUACCUCAUGUUUCAAUAGUAAAUGCCGUUUUUUCUCUCACUUAUAGAUGUAUCCUCUGCUCAUUAGUUAGUUGGUAAGGUAACGGCUUACCAAGGCAACGAUAAGUAGCCGGCCUGGGGGGGGGAUCGGCACAACUGGAACUGGAAAAAGGUCCAGACUCCUACGGGAGGCAGAGGUAGGGAAUCUUCCGAAAGGGGGGAAGGCCUGACGGAGAAAGGCCGGGUGGGGGAGGAAGGUCUUCGAUUCGUAAAACUCGGUUAAUAAGGAAGAACAAAGGUGUAAGUAACUAUGCACGUCUUGACGGUACCUAAUCAGAAAGCCACGGCUAACUACGUG